CAAAUCAGGACAAGAACAAAGCUAUUCUUGAGAAAAUUAGAUUAUAGUUUUACCUGCUUUUGAAGAUAACAUUCCUAGAAUAAGCACUCCCCUUCUCCCUUGACAUCAAAGUCUUCACUGUGCUGGCACAGUAAUUUUUGCACCCAUGUCAUGAAUCAGUUCUGUGUUUUCACACAUAUGGAUUUAUUUUAUUUUAUUUUAUUUUUUUUUGAGGAGGGAUAUUAUUUUUCUCUUUGAUCAGUAUUCUAAUCUGUGUCAUCAUGUACAGGUAAGAGCAACAUAAACAAACAACAAUACUGGAGGAAGAUGAUGAAAGUUUUGUGUUGUUGCAGCUAAACGUCUGCUUUAUGCUGAAUGAGCUUCAGUGACUUAUUGAAGAAUUGCCUUAGAAGUCUGUGGUAGAUUCAGGGAAUGAAUGCAUCUCAGAACUUUGUAGAAAACGUCUCACUGGCUGCAACAAGGACCAGCAUAUUGGUGUGGAGUAGUGGUGAACUAGGCUGACAACUGAGCUGGCCAAAAAAUAAUGCAGCAACAGCAAAACCAACUGACCUCCAAUGCUCAGUGCUUUUUCAGAAACUGGGAAUAGUG
rnacentral:lncRNA from 1 species